UUCUUUUAUAUAUUACGGCUGUCAUUACUUAUUAGCGUAAUGCUAAGAGCAACAAAAAAAUAUUUAAUGUUAUAGUGAAUGCUCUUAAAAUGCACCCUUAUCGAUAUAAAAGUUAUUUUUGUGCUGUGAUGUCAUUAUUUGACAAUAUACUUUAACGUUAUAAAUUCCUAGUCAUAUUUAAAUUGUAAAUAACCUAAUCUUAAUUAAAUAUUUUUUCGUAAUAUGGCAAAGACUAAAACAAUUAGUAAAGGUUGCCCUAAAUGUGAACAACAGGUCCCUGUAGCUUGCAAAGCAUGUCCAUGUGGACAUUCAUUUUUCAAUGCAAGACGAAAUUCAAUAAAAAGUCCUCCUAGUCCUGAUAAUGGGGUAAUGAAAACAAGACGAACUAAUCGAAUCAAACGUGAAAAACCAAAUUAUUAUGAUGCUUUAGAAUAUGAUAAACAAUCAAAAAAGAGUGCUAAAAUUAGAAAAGCAACAGAUGCUGCUAGUGAUAUAGAUUGCAGACAAUUAAAUAAAAAAAAGAAACGAAAGGGAAAAGGUAAAGGAAAAAGUGGAAGUAAUAAUGGAAUAGGAGAUGAUGAUGAUGAAAUGGAAGGAAUUAAUAGUUUAUCACCAGAAAAACAGCUUACAUGUUCUUUAAUAUUACAAGAAUUAAAUAACAAAAUGAGAGUUGUGGCUUGGAAACCAACAUAAUUUUUCUUCAUUGUGACAUAUUUCUUAUUCUAAGAAAUUCUAGUAUCCAGUUUUAGUAAAACAUAAUCAUUUUAUAUAGGAUCUGCCGCAAUUCUUCAUUCUCUACAAAUAAUCAUAAUGUAACAUGUAAAUAUAAUGUACAUAGUGUUAAUGUGAUAUAUAAGACAAAUUACAAAUAUAAAUCAAUUUUUUUUAAAGUAAGUCUUUAUAUCGUGUAUAUAUGUAUAUGUAUAAGAAUGUUUGUUCUUCGUUUUUACUUUGAAUGUAAAUGAAAAUGUCAUUUACCAAUAAAAUGAGAGAGAUGUGCAUUUA